UUCUCCUGCGCCCAUCAUCAAUUGUUCAAUCCCACGCCGAUUUCUCAGUGUAUUUUUUUCGUUUACGAGUUAGGGUUUCGGUUUUACGGACCUCGAGGCAUCCACGUUUCUCGAAUCGAAUCUCGGCGUUUCUUGCUACUGAAGGCCGUAUUGAUUCCGAUCACCACAAACGCCUUCUCCGGCGGAAGCGGCCUCGGAUUUCUCCCGUUCGUUCGAGAUAACGCCAUUUCCAUCUCCCAAUUUCCGAACGUUUUCUCCAGAGAUCUGCCGAAUCAAAGCUUUAAAAAGAGAAUUCAACAACAGAAUGCAACAAAAAUUUCGAAAAAUCAAAAGAAUGACGUUAACAUUACAGUUUUACAUCAAGAGGAGUUCAAAAUUAGUGAAACUCACUCGUUUAUGAUCACAAUCUGGAGUGGCUGCUUCAAGAUUUUCAAAAUGGUUAAGAAACUGAGGAUCUUUGGUUUGAAUUCUGUUGCGCCCAGUGAAGAGUGAUCCUGCAAGAAAGCUUGCAAAGCAUAGGACCAAGUUCAUGGACGAACAUGUUAAACCGAUUAUCAAGCUUGGGGAGUCGCUUAUCCCUGUGAACAACUAUGAACCCCUCGACGGCUGGUUAUGGGAGAUGAGCCCUCAUGGCAUGGCCACAUCACCAUCUAGGCGUUAACUACCCCCAACUACUGGGGACGAACGGAUCCGAAGCCACCCCAAGAAGUUGGAGAAAGCGGUGAGAAAAACAAGGGGGCAGUGGAAGAUGAACAUCCUCGAAGUAAAUUCUUUUUGUGUUUUGUUGAAUUACAUCCACCUCUUAAGUAUUAGACUUGCUAUCAAGGAUCUGUAAUUCCUGUCAUCUUAGAUAAUCUCACAUUGAGGAGGGAGAAUUGGGCCAAAGCACCCGCAAGGAAGCCCAGAUUUGAAUGCCAACUAUAGUCAACAACCAUGACCAAUGGUAGCAGCGUAUGAAUCGGAGGAAGGUAAAAGGAAUUCAAACUGAGUUGAGAAUACAUUUUUGACAAUAAAGGUUUUAAUAAAAUCAAAGUUUUAUUUUAUAUUUUCA